UGGGGAAUAUUGGACAAUGGGCGAAAGCCUGAUCCAGCCAUGCCGCGUGAGUGACGAAGGCCUUAGGGUUGUAAAGCUCUUUUGGCGGGGAAGAUAAUGACGGUACCCGCAGAAUAAGCUCCGGCUAACUUCGUGCCAGCAGCCGCGGUAAUACGAAGGGAGCUAGCGUUGUUCGGAAUCACUGGGCGUAAAGCGCACGUAGGCGGAUUUGUCAGUCAGGGGUGAAAUCCCGGGGCUCAACCUCGGAACUGCCCUUGAUACAGCAAGUCUUGAGUUCGAGAGAGGUGGGUGGAAUUCCUAGUGUAGAGGUGAAAUUCGUAGAUAUUAGGAAGAACACCGGUGGCGAAGGCGGCCCACUGGCUCGAUACUGACGCUGAGGUGCGAAAGCGUGGGGAGCAAACAGGAUUAGAUACCCAGGUAGUCCCUGAGCGGGCUGGCAAGGCGCAU
rnacentral:rRNA from 1 species